CCUGAGGCCACACCUCCACCUGUGACCACACCUCUACCCUGAGGCCACACCUCCACCUGGGACCACACCUCUACCCUGAGGCCACACCUCACCUGUGACCACACCUCUGCCUGAGGCCACACCUCCCUCUGCCCACUGUGGCAUACUCUCCCUUCCACUGCCCUUGAGCCCAAGGCCUCGCUGCCCCAGGGCCUUUAGAACCCCCAUACCCCCGCCCGGCCCCCAACUUUCACCCCUCCUUCAAGCCCUUGCAGUGGCCUCUGCUCGCCAGGGUGGCCCUGCCCAGGCUCCUGGCCAUGGUCUUUCUGUAUCCUCGGGAGGCCUGCUGCAGAUCUGCUGCCUUCUGAAGACUGGGAGAUCAGAGACGUCACGGGGUGGUGGCCCUGUCAUGUCCCCUAUCUGGUCUGUCCCUGAAUCGAGCCGGAUCCUCAACUUCAGGUGAGAACAACGUUGGGGACUCCCCGGGUCAUGGGCUUCCACCAGCCUGGUCUCCAUGGCACUGCCCCGGCAGGCGGCACACAUCCAGCCCAGAAAGCAGGGCACAGGUCUCGAUGGCCACAGACAUCUGCAGUCCAGAGCUGAGUUAGAGCUCCUGAGGAGUGGCCAUCUGGAGUCUGGCAGAUGGUCCCUUUCUCCCUAACCCAAGACCCUGGACCGAGUGGCCAGCUGUGGCCAGCCUGGGAGAGGCGUGUGUGUCCUGCAGGGUAAAGGACGUGCCCUGGCUGCCACCUUCUCAGGACUCUGGUGUCAGGGCAUCAGGAAGUCACUCCAAAGUGAGGGGCAUGUUCCUCACCUUACUCUACCCCAGAAGAAAGCUGGGGGCCUCGGGGGAUCUCACACUUAUAGUAGGACAUGUUCUGGGGACACAGGGGGCUGGCCGGAGGGGCCCCGGAGCAGGGGCUG
rnacentral:lncRNA from 1 species